UACGAAGGGGGCUAGCGUUGCUCGGAAUCACUGGGCGUAAAGCGCACGUAGGCGGCUUUCUAAGUCAGGGGUGAAAUCCUGGAGCUCAACUCCAGAACUGCCUUUGAUACUGGAGAGCUUGAGUCCGGAAGAGGUGAGUGGAACUCCGAGUGUAGAGGUGAAAUUCGUAGAUAUUCGGAAGAACACCAGUGGCGAAGGCGGCUCACUGGUCCGGUACUGACGCUGAGGCACGAAAGCGUGGGGAGCAAACAGG
rnacentral:rRNA from 1 species